rnacentral:rRNA from 1 species
GACGAACGCUGGCGGCGUGCUUAACACAUGCAAGUCGAACGGUGAAGCGCCUUCCUUUUUGGUGGGUGUGGAUGAGUGGCGAACGGGUGAGUAACACGUGAGUAACCUGCCCCCUUCUUCUGGAUAACCGCAUGAAAGUGUGGCUAAUACGGGAUAUUCUGGGUCUGUCGCAUGAUGGGUCUGGGAAAGAUAUUGUUUCGGUGGGGGAUGGGCUCGCGGCCUAUCAGCUUGUUGGUGGGGUGAUGGCCUACCAAGGCGGUGACGGGUAGCCGGCCUGAGAGGGUGGACGGUCACACUGGGAAUGAGACGCGGGCCAGCCUCCUACGAGAGGCAGCAGUGGGGAAUAUUGCACAAUGGGCGCCAGCCUGAUGCAGCGACGCCGCGUGAGGGAUGGAGGCCUGCGGGUAGUGAACCUCUUUCGACAGUGAAGCAGGCCUGCCUCGUUUGUGGGUGGGUUGACGGUAGCUGGAGAAGAAGCGCCGGCUAACUACGUG